AAAAAAAAAAAAAAUACUUAUUUAACUUCAUUUUAUGUACAUUGGUGUGAAGGUGUCGGAUCCCCAGAACUGGAGUUACAGACAGUUGUGAGCUGCUAUGUGGAUGCUGGGAAUUGAACCUAGGUCCUCUGGAAGAGCAGCCACUGCUCUUAACUUCUGAGCCAUCUCUCCAGUCCCCAUUCAGCUCUUUAUUAGACCAUCAGGUGCUUUGGACAAAGUAACACAGCUUCACAGAGUUAAACAAAUGCUAUGUAAAAUAAUGCAAUACAUCUUUGCAUCAUUAAGUGUUCCACAGCAUAAACAAAUGUAACACAUCUUAAACUAAUAUUCUACAACAACCACCCAGCCCAUAGAGUAAAUUUUAUGGAAGGUUUUGGAAUGGAAGGCCACUAUCUCCUGUCAUCACCUUGUCUCCUUAUCUCAUGUUUUACAUACAGGACUAGGUCUCUGCUUAUAUAAUGUACACAGGCUAGCCCGGGACUUGCAGUUACCCACUUUAGCCUUUUACUGUAGUUUGUCAAAAGGAGUUACUCUGAACUGUUUUUAACUUCAAGCACUUAACAUCUGUGUCUAAGAUGUUUGUAAAAUUACCAGUUUUAGGCAAAUAUUUUUUUUAUAACUGCAAAUGUAUUUUAACAUUAUUGUAGAACAUUUAAGAAACAGCAUAAAACAUAAACUUAGCCUACCAGAGUUAGUACCAGUUAACAUUUUGGUAUAGAUUCUUGUUAAAAAUCCACAUGUGCAUUUAUCUCCCAGCACUUGGGAGGCAGAGGCAGGCAGAUCUCUGAGUUCCAGGACAACCUGUUACACAGAGAAACCCUGUCAUGAUAAACAAACAAACAAACAAACAAACAAACAAAAAAACCCUGCAGGGCUAGAGAGAUGGCCCAGGUUAAAAGCAGUUAAAAGAGGUUAAAAGCACUGGCUGCUCUUCCAGAGGAUCCAGGUUCAAUUCCCAGCACCCACACGGCAGCUCACAACUGUCUAUAGCUCCAGUUCCUGUGAAUCCAGCACCCUCACAUAUACAUGUGUGACAAAAACACCAGUGCACAUAAAAUAAAAAUAAACUUUUUUUUUUUGGUUUUUCGAGACAGGGUUUCUCUGUGUAGCUUUGCGCCUUUCCUGGAACUCACUUGGUAGCCCAGGCUGGACUCGAACUCACAGAGAUCCGCCUGGCUCUGCCUCCCGAGUGCUGGGAUUAAAGGCGUGCGCCACCACCGCCCGGCUAAUAAAAAUAAACUUUUAAAAAUCCACGUGUGCCAGGCAUGGUGACACAGGCCACAGUGCCUGGAUGGCAGGGGCAGGCAGAUGUCUAUGAGUUUGAGGCCAGCCUACUGUACAUAGUGAGUCCCAGGUCAGCUGACAUGGGUGCGGGGUCCUUAAGACCAAGCAGGAAGCAUCUUCCCAGUCCCAGAAGUUUAAGGACCAUACACUUACACUUGAACACAAGUAUUGAGAAAGAUACAGGUGUAAAUAAGAGAAAAUGGGAUUGAUAAAUAGGUGUAAUUUUGAAAAAUUUUCCUUAGCAAGCAUCACAAUAAUACAGUGUGUUAAAAGAGCAAAAUUCAAUUGUUAAGAGACCAGACAAGAUUCAUAGAGGUGGGCUUGUAAAGGAGAAGAUGAGCUAUGGUCUAGUGCAGUCAUUCAAAAUGCCUUUGGUUGCCAUUUCUUUCUUUAGUACUUUUGUAAUUUUUUUCUUGGAGCCGAGGACUGAACCCCACCUAGUAAGUGCUCUACCCCUGAACUAAAACCCUGCCUCCCCCUUACGUUUUGGAUCCCUCUAUAAAUGCCUAAAAAUCAUAGAUUUUAUUUUUAUAAGUCUUUAUGAAAUGAUAUUUAACAUUAGAAAUUUAAAAUGAGGAAAGUUUAUUGACCACAUAAAAAUCGAAUGCAUGUUAACAGAGUCUUCUUACAGACUUACAGAGUGAACAAAAAGUCACCAGCGAGAAAGUCAUCAUGUUAUUCUUUGGUAAAUCUCUUCAGUGGCUGACCUGACAGGAAGAAGCUGGCUUCUCUCGCCUUUGCAGCCUGUUACAGCGCUUGCUCAUCACGUGCAAAGCCCUAGGUUCAAAGCCCACCCAGAAACUAAUCAUGCACCAGGCAGCUGCCAGGCAACUGUUCUGCCACUUAAAAGAGAAUGAGGAGGGAUGCAGCUCCAAUCUUAGCAUCAGGGAGGUUCAGGCAGGAGGAUCAGAAGUUCAAGGUUAUCCUCAGCUACAGACAGUGAGUUAGAAGCCAGCCUAAGAUAUGAGACUGUUAAAAAAUAAAAAGGGAAAAAAGUUAGUGAUAUUUGGAUAUUAUAAAAACAACUCUGGGCUGUACAACAGUCCUCUCCAACCCUCUGCCAGGGCUGUGCACAGGAGGUGUGGGCAGCGUUCCCCCACCAACAUUGUUUUUGCUGAGAAAUUAGCCCAUGUGAGCCAGACCAUGGUGGCGAACACCUUUAAUCCCAGCACUCAGGAAGCAAAGGCAGGUGGAUCUCUGAGUUCUAGGCCAGCCUGGUCUACAGAACAAGUUCUAGGACAGCCAGGGCUACAGAGAAGCCAUCACAACCCCCCCCCCCAAAAAAAAAAAAAAAAAUUAACC